rnacentral:ncRNA from 1 species
CGAUAGAGGUGCGGAUUUUAUGACAAGCCGACGGCGCAGACUUCGCCGCGGUGGGAAAGGAAAAUCCGCCGAAAGAACGGUUCGUUCGGUCUGGAACGGUCGCUCUUGGGACAACGCAGAAUAUGCGUUGUACUGUCACCGCAAGGUGGAGCGCUAUC